AAUCAACGCUGGCGGCGUGCCUAACACAUGCAAGUCGAACGAGAAGGUGACUUCGGUCACUGGAUAGUGGCGUCCGGGUGAGUAACACGUAGGUAAUCUACCUUCGGGUGGGGAAUAACGUCUCGAAAGAGACGCUAAUACCGCAUAAUGCAGCGGCACCUAAUGGUGAUUAGUUGUUAAAGCGGGGGAUCUUCGGACCUCGCGCCUGAAGAGGAGCCUGCGGCAGAUUAGCUAGUUGGUGAGGUAAUGGCUCACCAAGGCUUCGAUCUGUAGCUGGUCUGAGAGGACGGCCAGCCACACUGGCACUGACACAC
rnacentral:rRNA from 1 species